UGGCGGACGGGUGAGUAAUGUCUGGGAAACUGCCUGAUGGAGGGGGAUAACUACUGGAAACGGUAGCUAAUACCGCAUAACGUCGCAAGACCAAAGAGGGGGACCUUCGGGCCUCUUGCCAUCGGAUGUGCCCAGAUGGGAUUAGCUAGUAGGUGGGGUAACGGCUCACCUAGGCAACGAUCCCUAGCUGGUCUGAGAGGAUGACCAGCCACACUGGAACUGAGACACGGUCCAG
rnacentral:rRNA from 1 species